GUAUGGCUCACCAGUAGAGCACCUGUCUAGUAAGCAUGAAGCCCUGAGUUCAAAUUCCAGUAC
rnacentral:tRNA from 1 species